UACGUAGGUGGCAAGCGUUAUCCGGAAUUAUUGGGCGUAAAGCGCGCGCAGGCGGUUUCUUAAGUCUGAUGUGAAAGCCCACGGCUCAACCGUGGAGGGUCAUUGGAAACUGGAGAACUUGAGUGCAGAAGAGAAAAGCGGAAUUCCACGUGUAGCGGUGAAAUGCGUAGAGAUGUGGAGGAACACCAGUGGCGAAGGCGGCUUUUUGGUCUGUAACUGACGCUGAGGCGCGAAAGCGUGGGGAGCAAACAGG
rnacentral:rRNA from 1 species